UACAGAGGUGGCAAGCGUUGUUCGGAAUUACUGGGCGUAAAGGGCGCGUAGGCGGCCUUGUAAGUCCCGUGUGAAAUCCCUCGGCUCAACUGAGGAACUGCACGGGAAACUGCUUGGCUUGAGUUCGGGAGAGGGAAGCGGAAUUCCGGGUGUAGCGGUGAAAUGCGUAGAUAUCAAGAGGAACACCAGUGGCGAAGGCGAGUCCCUGGACGAUACCUGACACUGAGGCACGAAAGCCAAGGGAGCAAACAGG
rnacentral:rRNA from 1 species